rnacentral:misc_RNA from 1 species
GAUGAAGAACGCAGCGAAAUGCGAUAAUUAAUGUGAAUUGCAGAAUUCCGUGAAUCAUUGAGUCUUUGAACGCACAUUGCGCCUCAUGGCAUUCCGUGAGGCAUGCCCAUCUCAGCGUUAGAAAAUAUUCUCAAAUUUUAGUUUUGUGCUAAAAUUUGGAUCAUGUCAAGGAAGCUAUUACUAUUAUUGUGAUCGCUCUUUGGAAAUUGAUAGGUCUUUGAGUUGCUACUCAUAGAACGUGAUGAAUCUUUCUUCGUUCUAUUAUAAUUCACUCUAGUAGUCCUAAAACUUGUAUGCCUGUGGCAUAUCUUGUAAUUUGACCUGAGAUUGGGUAGGGAUACCCACUGAACUUAAGCAUAUCAAUAAGCGGAGGA